AGUGUAUUAGUGACAACCGCCAACCGCCAUUCAAGUUUUUUCUCGAAGCAGCGGCGAUGUGAAGAAAAGAAAAUGUGAAUGCUGAAACAAAAGAAGCGGAUCAGAAUGCAUAAAAAUACAACCUCAUAAAAGGAAAAUGACGUACGCCAUUACACUAGGGAAUCACGAAAUUUUUUUACGAAGGAAAUAUACAAAGAGUCACUGAUGGGAGAGCAGCAUAUUCUCUGGUCCAGACAUGGACAUGGACAAAAAUUCUACAUCACACAAAAAUUGCAUCAGAGGUUGCAAUUGCAUCAACAAGAACUUGUCAUAUGGAGAAAAUUAAAAAAAAUUGAUUGACUACAACUCAGUGAUAGAAAACUUUAAUAACUAUAAAAGAUGUGAAAUAAAAUACUAUUAACAUCAAGAUUAACACUUGUUUUGUGCUCAAUUAUUCUAUAAUGAACUGAAAAACCUAAAUCUAAUGGCAAUCGUAGCAAGAAUAGUAGUAUUCUUAAACUAUCAUAUCCUGUAUCAUCGUUCGUAAAAUAGUAUUAUACAUAUUGUAAUAUGGCUAUCAUAUAAUUGAAUGUUUAUCAAACACCUUUCAAUUUGGAUUAACCAUAGAAUCUUCGCUUGUUUUAACAAAAAUCAUACUUUUGAUCUUCUUUGUUGAAUACAAUCAUAAUCCGAAUCAUCGCAUGACAAAAAUAUAUGAUUAGCUAACGAUACAUGGUAAAAUUGCUUAGCAAAAAUAUAUGGAAAAGUUGGCCUUUUUGAAUGGUAACGAUACUUAACAACCCAUUCAGUGUAUCUUCUGAUAUCGAAUUAUUGUAAACCCUAUCGU